GGUAUCACCACAGAAAUGGUAAAUACAGAAUGUCAAAAUUAAGCUCUUGCUUUCAUCCUUUUUCUUCUUAGGACAAGCCAGGAGAUCAGGGCGCCUCUGUAUUCCUUGAAGGACAGACAGGCAGCCUCAGGUCCCUACCAGCUCACCAUUCCUGGGGAGGAGUGCCAGGUCCAACACUGCCAGUUACCAGUUUGCACAGGGCCCUGCAAAGUGUGUGGCUGGCCCUGAUUCCAGGGACCAAAGAACGACCGUUCACCUUCCAUAUUUCACAGAUGCGUCCACGUAGACAUUCACACAUACGUGCAAAAGUGUGCAUGUGUGUCUAUGUAUUUGUGACAGACAAGACAGAAAGAGAGAGAGAGAGAGCCUGCAUGACAUUCUUAACACCUGCUCUGCCACCCACUUUCCAGCUUCCUUUGGAAGUCAAGAACUGGGUUCUGAGACCUUCGGUCAGGUGAGCACUGUCCAGGGCUUAGCCAUGUGCAUGUGUGUAUAUGUAUGCAUGUAUGUAUACAUGUGUGUGUAU
rnacentral:lncRNA from 1 species